rnacentral:misc_RNA from 1 species
GCGCUGGUUCGUGUUUGGCCUCGUGGCGCUCGCGGCGAGUUGCAUUACGCCCUAUGGCUGGGAUUCGCUGCUCGCGGCCCGCAACAUUCUCAAUCUCGGUGCAGCGCUGUCGAUGAUCACCGAAUGGCGUCCGGCCGACUUCACGCGCUUCGGCGCAUUCGAGGGAGUUCUGCUGCUCGGGCUGGGAGCGAUCCUGUUCAAGGGAUUGAA